GACGAACGCUGGCGGCGUGCCUAAUACAUGCCAGUAGAACGCUGAAGAGAGGAGCUUGCUCUUCUUGGAUGAGUUGCGAACGGGUGAGUAACGCGUAGGUAACCUGCCUGGUAGCGGGGGAUAACUAUUGGAAACGAUAGCUAAUACCGCAUAAAAUGGAUUAUCGCAUGAUAAUCCAUUGAAAGGUGCAAAUGCAUCACUACCAGAUGGACCUGCGUUGUAUUAGCUAGUUGGUGGGGUAACGGCUCACCAAGGCGACGAUACAUAGCCGACCUGAGAGGGUGAUCGGCCACACUGGGACUGAGACACGGCCCAGACUCCUACGGGAGGCAGCAGUAGGGAAUCUUCGGCAAUGGACGGAAGUCUGACCGAGCAACGCCGCGUGAGUGAAGAAGGUUUUCGGAUCGUAAAGCUCUGUUGUAAGAGAAGAACGAGUGUGAGAGUGGAAAGUUCACACUGUGACGGUAUCUUACCAGAAAGGGACGGCUAACUACGCG
rnacentral:rRNA from 1 species